rnacentral:rRNA from 1 species
CACGUAGGGGGCAAGCGUUGUCCGGAUUUAUUGGGCGUAAAGAGCUCGUAGGCGGUUCGGUAAGUUGGGUGUGAAACCUCCAGGCUCAACCUGGAGACGCCACCCGAUACUGCUGUGACUAGAGUCCGGUAGGGGAGCGUGGAAUUCCUGGUGUAGCGGUGAAAUGCGCAGAUAUCAGGAGGAACACCAGCGGCGAAGGCGGCGCUCUGGGCCGGAACUGACGCUGAGGAGCGAAAGCGUGGGGAGCAAACAGG